GCCAUAAUACUGGAGGUCAAAGACAGGAACGAAAUUGGGGGUUCCUAUCUGAAUUCUGAUGCAAUAUGCUGCACCCCUGCUCUUGCCAAAGAUGGAUCCUGCAAGGUAGGAGAGGUUAUAAUUCAUCAAGAUCCUGAGAACCCUGGGUGGCCAAAACGGAUUCAGACGUCCUUUGAGGGAAACAGUGAAGAAGCUAAUAUGGUAUUCCAUAAUGUUCAGAUCAACAAGACUGGAAUGUAUUAUCUCUAUUUUAUGUUCUGCAAUCCGGAACUCAAGGGCACAUUAAUUAGUGGUAGAACUGUUUGGAGAAACCCAGAAGGCUAUCUACCUGGGAAGAUGGCACCACUGAUGACAUUUUACGGUUUGAUGUCUCUAGCAUACCUCAUUCUUGGUCUCUUGUGGUUUUUACGGUUUGUGCAACAUUGGAAGGAUAUAAUACAAUUGCACUAUCACAUUACUGCCGUGAUUGGUCUUGGAAUGUGUGAAAUGGCUCUUUGGUAUUUUGAAUAUGCAAAUUUUAAUGCCACAGGAAGCAGGCCAAUGGGAAUCACCAUAUGGGCUGUUACCUUCAGUGCUAUCAAGAAGACUGUCUCACGUCUACUUCUUCUAGUGGUAUCGAUGGGCUAUGGUGUUGUAAGACCCACACUGGGAGGUAUAACCUCAAAGGUACUUCUUUUGGGUGUGGUAUACUUUCUUGCUUCUGAAGCCUUGGAACUGGUUGAACAUUUGGGAAAUAUCAAUGACUUCUCUGGAAAAGCGAGAAUCUUUUUGGUGUUACCUGUUGCUUUAUUAGAUUCCUGCUUCAUCGUAUGGAUAUUUUCCUCAUUGUCCAAAACAUUAGAGAAGCUUCAGGUUCGGAGAAGCCUGGCCAAGCUUGAACUGUACCGAAAAUUUACCAAUUCUUUAGCCGUUUCAGUUCUUCUCUCUGUUGCUUGGAUUGGCUAUGAGCUGUACUUUAAUGCAA
rnacentral:misc_RNA from 1 species